UAGGUAGUGAUUAGAACUUGGACCUAAUUAUACAAGUUCAUGAUUUGUGGUAGGGUACAAUUCUAAGGGUGCAAGCACUUAGCGACACUAGAAGGCGAUUCAAAGUAUAAGGUAGUACAGGUGGCUUUAGUGAUAUGUAUGUUCAGACUUGAUGAGGAGCAGGGUACGAUUGCCAGGGAUGCAUGACUGUAUUUACCUGGAGGAGCUGCGUGAUCUUGCGGCUUAUAUUUAUAUGCUUUCUAUUAUUUCUCAUGUAUUAGAUCAUGUAAUUCUUGUAUUUGUUAAUUUUGGAGACAUUGGUUUGUAUAAGUCAUUAUGGGCAGCUUCUUGUAAAUUUGAAUGAUAAUGAAAUUUUCCUUUA